AAUAAGACUUGUGCUACUCACAGCACAUCUCCUGAAUGCAACUCA
rnacentral:tRNA from 2 species